rnacentral:ncRNA from 1 species
AGCUGAGGUUGCGGCAUACAUCAGUAUCUUCGCAAAAUGCGGCGGACAGCCGUGCGGAGAGAAAGGGUCUGCCGCCGAAGUGCGUCCGCGUCUGUCCGGCGCUGUCGUGCUGGGUCUAUGCAGAAGAUGCAUAGGACUGUCAUUCCUUU